rnacentral:rRNA from 1 species
CCUACGGGAGGCAGCAGUGAGGAAUAUUGGUCAAUGGCCGUGAGGCUGAACCAGCCAAGUCGCGUGAGGGACGACGGUGCUAUGGAUUGUAAACCUCUUUUGUCGAGGAACAAAGUCGUCCACGUGUGGAUGAUUGAGGGUACCUGAAGAAAAAGCAUCGGCUAACUCCGUGCCAGCAGCCGCGGUAAUACGGAGGAUGCGAGCGUUAUCCGGAUUUAUUGGGUUUAACGGGUGCGUAGGCGGGCUGUUAAGGCGGCGGUAAAAUUGCGGGGCUAAACCACGGAGAGCGGUUGAAACUGGCUGUCUUGAGUGGGCGAGAGGUAUGCGGAAUGCGUGGUGUAGCGGUGAAAUGCUUAGAUAUCACGCAGAACUCCGAUUGCGAAGGCAGCAUACCGGCGCCUUACUGACGCUGAGGCACGAAAGCGUGGGUAUCGAACAGGAUUAGAUACCCUUGUAGUC